AUGCUUCUCCUAAAGACUAAGCCAUGCAUGCCUUCGAAUAGAAGACGCAAUCUCUCUGAAUCUGCGAACGGCUCCGCAUACCAGUUGUAAACCAUAGCAAGCCAACCUUGGGGAGACCCGAUAAUAAAGGGAUGACCCUCGGUUGCACAAGGAUACCCAUGGUAAUUCUGAGGCUAAUACACGUACAUACAACCUAGCUAACCGGGAAACUGGAAGGCUGGGGAUUGUGUGGAGCUUUACUGCGACACCGAUCUAUGAGAUGAUGCACGAUCUGACCACCAUCGAACGGUCUCGUUCUGCGGCAAGUACCUCCGGGGAAAGCCAAUGGGCUUGACUGGGUGGCUCUUGCUUUGUGCUUCUGACCUAUCAACUCGAUGGCAGCGUAAGGGACAUGCUAUGGUUACAACGGGUACAGAGGAUAAGGGUUCGAUCCUGGAGAGUGGGCCUGAGAGAUUGCUCACACUUCUAAGGAAGGCAGCAGGCGCGCAACGUUCCCACUGGGUAACACCUGAGGGCGUUAGGGGACAUAUGAAUGCC
rnacentral:rRNA from 1 species